AGUGCCUCGCGGAAAGCAGGCGGGCGGGCGGAAAACGCGGAGCAACCUCUUCCCCCUCUCCCCGCUCCAUCUCCUUCCCUUCCCAGGCCGCAGCUGUCCUUUGUGGGGCGUCCAGGGUUCGCCCACAUCCACCUCCGCGCUGGGCACCUGGUGGUGCUUACAUCGCGUUUGGUGAAACGCAUCCUCCAGCCAUGCUAUGCUUGCAAAGAUGUCUCUGGUCAUUGGGAAGGACUGUGUCUUUGGCAGGAGGAUGUCCGUGAAUGUCAUCAGUGAGCCGGCGCCUGUCCCCCUCUACCCUGGAGCUGAAGGCAGCUUCUACACAAACCCUCCUGGGGCCUGCUCCGUGACUCAGUUUCCCUGUCAUGUGCUGCUGCUGCUUUUUUUUCUCUUUCAUUAGGGCUUCCCCUCCACCCUCCCUGCAGGGUCACUGGGCUGGUGCCCUGGGCAGGGAGGAACACCAGCAUGUGGCCUCAGACCUCAGAGUCCUUUCUGCUCGCUCAUUGACCUGUUUGCAACUCUGGACUCACAGCCGACGUUGCAAACUGAGGUUCCUGGAGUAAUUCUAACCCUUUGGGAAUCGCCCCACCCCCAGACUGUGAGCACACCAAGGGCAUGAUCCAUCUGUCCAGGCCACCCUUGUGUGCCACUGGAUGCAUGAAGGAAUGUUGACAUCAGCCUAAGGUCCUGCGUCAGCUCCCAGUAGCCUGAUGUCAGGACCUCAAAUGCAGGCUGAGAAGAGAACAUAGGAGAUGGGCCUUUUAUAAGGCCAACCAGAAGGUCAGAAGACUUGGGCUCCAGCCGGAUGCGGCGACUCACACCUGUAAUCCCAGUACUUUGGGAGGUCGAGGUGAGAGGAUCACUCGAGGCCUGGAGUUUGAGACCAGCCUAGGCAACACAGUGAGACCCCAUCUCUAAAAAAAUUAAAAAAUUAGCUGAGUGUGAUGGUGCAUGCCUGCAGUACCCGCUAUUCAGGAGGGUGAGGUGGGAGGAUUGCUUGAGCCCAGGAGGUCAAGGCUGCAAUGAGCUAUGAUCACACUCCAGACUGGGCAACAGAGAGAGACCUUGUCUCAGAAAAAAAAAAAAAAAAGAGAGAGAGAGAGGAGGAGGAGGCUGGGUGCAGUGGCUCACACCUGUAAUCUAAACACUUUGUUUGUUUGUUUGUUUGAGAGGGAGUCUCACUCUGUCGCCCAGGCUGGAGUUCAGUGGCGCGAUCUCAGCUCACUGCAACCUCUGCCUCCCAGGUCAAGCGAUUCUCCUGCCUCAGCCUCCCGAGUAGCUGGGAUUAUGGGCACAUGCCACCACGCCCAGCUAAUUUUUGUAUUUGCAGUAGAGACAGGGUUUCACCAUGUUGGCCAGCAUGGUCUUAAACUGCUGACCUCAGGUGAUCUGCCCACCUUGGCCUCCCAAAGUGCUGAGAUUACAGGCGUGAGCUACUGCACCUGGCUUUGUAAUCCCAACACUUUGAGAGGCCAAGGUGGGAGCACUGCUUGAGGCCAGGAGCUUGAAACCAGCCUGGGCAACAUAAUGAGACCCCGUUUCUACAAAAAUAAACAAAUUAGCCGGGCAUGGUAGUGCAUGCUUGUAGUCCCAGCCACUCAGCAGGCUGAGGCUGGAGGAUUGGUUGAGCCCAGGAGUUCAAGGCUGCAGUGAACCAUGAUUGGGUCACUGCAACAGAGGGAGACCCAGAAAGAAAGAAAGAAAGAGAGAAAGAGAGAAAGGGGGGGGGAGGGGGAGGGGAGAGGAGGGGAGGGGAGGAAACACCAGGAAUUUGCAUGCACAGAGGAAGGCAAUAUGAGGACAGAGCAAGAAGGCAGCUGCCUGCAAGCCAAGGAGAGAGGCCUCAGGAGCAACCAACCUCACCAACACCUUGACCUUAGACUUCCAGCCUCCAGAACUGUGAGAAAAUAACUUUGUGUUGUUUGAGCCACUCAGCCUGUGGUAUUUUACUAUGGCAGCUCAAGCUGACUCAUGCACCAGGAAUUUCCACGGGACUGUGUCACACUUGCAAACGUCAUCUGUGACUAUCCGGGUGGGAGGACAGCAGAUCUGGGGACUGGGCUCUGCAGCCUUCCCAAAUGCAGCUUCCUGUGAUUCCAUUCUUCCACUUUGGCAGUCGAAUGAGUCAGUGGAAGAUUUGCAAACACGGAGCUAAAGGAAGAUCUGGAAAGGAGGAGAUGCACCGGGGAGUGUGAAGGGCAUUUGGAGCCCAAGCCCGUCCUUUCCCAGGCCCCUGGAGCCCACCCAGCUAACCACAAGCACCACUGAAAUCCACCAGAGCAAUAGGAAAAUUAGCUGGGUGCAGUGGCUCAUGCUGUAAAACCCAGCUACCUGGGACGCUGAGGCACGAGAAUCACUUGAACCCAGAAGGUGGAGGUUGCAGUGAGUGGAGAUCACACCACUGCACUCCAGCCUAGGCAACAGAGUAAGACCCUGUCUAAAAAAAAAAAAAAAAAAAAAUGGGCGCGGUGGCUCAAGCCUGUAAUCCCAGCACUUUGGGAGGCCAAGGGGGGUGGAUCACCUGAGGUCAGGAGUUCAAGACCAGCCUGGCCAACACGGUGAAACCCCGUCUCUACUAAAAAUACAAAAAUUAGCUGGGCGUGGUGGCAGGCACCUGUAAUCCCAGCUACUCCCGGAGGCUGAGGCAGGAGACUUGCUUGAACAUGGGAGGUGGAGGUUGCAGUAAGCCGAGAUUGCACCAUUGCACUCCAGCCUGGGGUAUAAGAGUGACACUUCGUCUCAAAAAAAAAGAAAGAAAGAAAAGAAAUCAACCAGGGUCCCAGGGUGAAAAUGAAUUCAGCCAAACAAAAUUCUUUUAUUUCUUUUUUUUGUUAGAGAUGAGGGUCUUGCUUUGUUGCCCAGGCUGGAGUGCAGUGGUACGAUCAUAGCUCACUGCAGCCUGGAACUUCUGGGCUCAAGUGAUCCUCCCACCUCAGCCUCCCAGAUAAGCGGGAGGGACUACAGGCAAGGACCACCAUGCCUGGCUAAUUUUUUAAAUUUUUCUGUAGAGACGAAGUCUUGCUAUGUUGCCCAGGCUGAUCUUGAACUCCUGAGCUCAAAUGAUGCUCCCACGUCAGUCUCCCAAAGCGUUGAAAUUACAGGCAUGAGCCACUGCACCCCGCCAGAUGUUUUGUUGUUGUUGUUGUUUUGUUUUGUUUUGUUUGAGAUGGAGUUUUGCUCUUGUCGCCCAGGCUGGAGUGCAAUGGUGCAAUCUCAGCUCACGGCAAUCUCUGCCUCCCGGGGAUUCUCCUGCCUCAGCCUUCUGAGUAGUUGGAAUUACAGGUAUGUGCCACCAGGCUCGGCUAAUUUUCUGUAUUUUUAGUAGAGACGGGGUUUCACCAUGCUGGUCAGGCUGGUCUCGAUCACCUCAGGUGAUCCACCCACCUUGGCCUCCCAAAGUGCUGGGAUUACAGGCAUGAGCCACCGUGCCUGGCCUCGCCAGAUGUUUACUUCUUUUCAGUGGCUUGGUUUGGGCUACAGUUUUUUGUUUUUUUUUUUUAAGAUAGAGUCUCACUCUGUUGCCCAAGCUGGAGUGCAGAGACAUGAUCUUGGCUCAUUGCAACCUCUGCCUCCUGGGUUCAAGCGACUCUCUUGCCUCAGCCUCCCGAGUAGCUGGGAUUGCAGGUGCUCACCACCACGCCUGGCUAUUUUUUUUUUUUUUUGUAUUUGUAGUAGAGACAGGGUUUCACUAUGUUGGCCAGGCUGAUCUCGAACUCCUGACCUCAGGUGAUCUGCCCGCCUCAGCUACAGUCUUAAGCGAGGAGCUGGGUCAUUCUGCUAUGGGGCAAAGUGGGGUGCAAUAUCUUCCUUUGUGACUCAGUUUCCGAUAUGUUAAGUCUAUACACCCGUACAUUUAUUGAAUGUAGAUUCUCAUUUGAAUUCCUCUGGGGACAGUCCUUGAGUGAAAACACAAACCCAUUCACUCUGGGAAUUCCUGCUCCCUGAGCACAGGUGCAGGCUGCAAAGACACAGUCACCUGUGAAACAUGCGGAUGCCCCCAGGCCUGGGGUCAGAGGCCCUGGAGGAAGUCAGGGGGGCUGCCACAAAUCAAGCAGUUUUUCCUUGCCAAAGGACCCCCAACAGCCCAGCCUGGCCAACAUGGCAUAGCCCCAUCUCUACCAAAAAUACAAAAAUUAGCCAGGCAUGUUGGCGCACAUCUGUAAUCCCACCUACUUGGGAGGGUGAGGCAGGAGAAUGGCUUUGAGGUUUGGAGGUGGAGGCUGCAGCAAGCCAAGAUCGUGCCACUGCACUCCAGCCUUGGUGACAGGGGGUCUGUCUUAAAAAAAGAAAAAAGGCUGGGCGCGGUGGCUCACGCCUGUAAUCCCAGCACUUUGGGAGGCCGACGUGGGCGGAUCAUGAGGUCAAGAGAUGGAGACCAUCCUGGCUAACACGGUGACACCCUGUCUCUCCUAAAAAUACAAAAAAAAUUAGCCGGGUGUGGUGGUGGGCACCUGUAGUCCCAGCUACUCAGGAGGCUGAGGCAGGAGAAUCGCUUGAACCCAGGAGGCGGAGGUUGCAGUGAGCCGAGAUCGCGCCACUGCACUCCAGCCUAGGCGACAGAGCAAGACUGUCUCACAAAAAAAAAAAAAAAAGAAAAAAAAGGAUGCCCAACAGUAUCUAGCACAGCAACUCCUCUACUGCAUCAAGGGUGCCCGCUUGCCCACACUCAGCUGCAAGCUGCUGUCUCUCCAAGUUUCUUGUCGGCCUGAGGCCUAGAGAAGAAAGCCGGUGUGUCAUGAGUCCCCUCUCACCACUGACAUUCCUGACAACUCCCCAUCAGGAAGGAAGCACUGGGGCUGGAGACCGAUGGUCCCUCUGGUCCCUUUGCCCUGGGUUUGGGAUUCGCACCCAGGAGACCCAUGGAAUCACUGAGACCCCAGUCACAGCAGGGGCUCCAGGCAUGACUUCAGGAUAAGAAAAUAAACACCUAUGUGAAGGACGCCUGGCUCAAGAAAUAGAACUUUCCAGGAAACCCCUCUUCCAUGGCUGCAACUGGUUCUCCGGAAUACUCCUUCCUUCUCCUACCCACAGUCCAACCAGGCUGAGGCCACAGAUACUUGGAACUCCUCAUCCCUGUCCUUACUUUUUUUGCCUCAAGUAAGAAAUCAGAUGACACAUCAGACCCAGGUCCCGGGGAACUCCCUGGGAAAUCAGACACUGGCAGCCCAAGGGUGUUUUUUUUUGUUUUGUUUUGUUUUGAGACGGAGUCUCGCUCUGUCGCCCAGGCUGGAGUGCAGUGGUGCCAUCUCAGCUCACUGCAACCUCUGCCUUCUGGGUUCAAGCGAUUCUCCUGCCUCAGCCUCCUGAUGCACGCCACCAUGCCUGGCUAAUUUUUUGUAUUUUUAAUAGAGACGGGUUUCACCGUGUUAGCCAGGAUGGUCUCCAUCUCCUGACCUUGUGAUCCGCCCACCUCGGCCUCUCAAAGUGCUGGGAUUACAGGUGUGAGCCACUGUGCCCAGCCCCAAGGGUGUUUUUUUAAAGACAGAGGAUAUGGGAUGGGGUGGUGCAGCUUUGCUCAGAAUCCUCAUCCUCAAGGUCAAAAAAAUAAGAAAAAAAAUUGAGUUAAGUCCAGGCGUGGUGGCUCAUGCCUAUAAUCCCAACACUUUGGGAGGCCGAGGCGGGUGGAUCACUUGAGGUCAGCAGUUCGAGACCAGCCUGGCCAUCAUGGUGAAACCUCGUCUCUACUAAAAAUAUAAAAAUUAGCCAGGUGUGGUGGCGUGUGCCUGUAGUCCCAGCUACUCGAGAGACUGAGGCAGGAGAAUUGCAUGAACCCAGGAGGCAGAAGUUGCAGUGAGCCGAGAUCAUGCCACUGCACUCCAGUCUGAGUGACAGAGUGAGACUCCAUCUUAAAAAAAAAAAAAAAAAAAAAUUUUGAGCAAAAUCCAACCCCACUGGAAAUCAGAAAAAGGAAGAAAAAAAAAAGAUUAUGGGAAAAAAAUAUAGAAUCUUGGUCCUAUGUCCAGGCAUGGUGGCUCCUGCCUAUCCCAGUGCUUUGGGAGGCCAAGGCUGGAGCAUCGCUUGAAGCCAGGAUUUUGAGACCAGCCUGGGCAACCUAGCAAGACCCCCAUCUCUACAGAAAAACCUUUUUUUUUUUUAGAUGAAAUUUUGCUCUUGUUGCCCAGGCUGGAGUGCAAUAGCACGAUCUCGGCUCACUGCAACCUCUGCCUCCCGGAUUCAAGCGAUUCUCCUGCCUCAGCCUCCCGAGUACCUGGGAUUACAGGCACCCACCACCACGUCCAACUAAUUUUGUAUUUUUGGUAGAGGUGAAGUUUCACCAUGUUGGCCAGGCUGGUCUCAAAUUCCCGACCUCAGGUGAUCCACCUGCCUCGGCCUCCCAAAAUGGUGGGAUUACAGGUGUGACCACCUCGCCUGACCGAGGUCUCUCUCUCUUUUUUUUUUUUUUUUUUUUGAGACGGAGUCUCGCUCUAUUGCCCAGGCUGGGCUGGAGUGCAGUGGCACUGUCUCACCUCUCUGAAAACUCCGCCUCCCGGGUUCACGCCAUUCUCCUGCCUCAGCCUCCCGAGUAGCUGGGACUACAGUCGCCCGCCAUGAUGCCCGGCUAAUUUUUUGUAUUUUUAGUAGAGAUGGGGUUUCACCGUGUUAGCCAGGAUGGUCUCAAUCUCCUGACUUCAUGAUCUGCCUGCCUCGGCCUCCCAAAGUGCUGGGAUUACAGGCGUGAGCCACCACCCCCAGCCAGUCUCCUUUUUUUAUAGGGCUCCUCUCACAGUGCCUGGCUCACUGGAAGUUUACAGUAGAGUACAGGGAUUGUCACUCACACAGAGCGAGGAUUGCCAGGGAUUUGUUUGUACCAGAGGCUGGAGUAGAGUUUAGGAAACCACAGGGCAUUCCUAGUGUCUAACCAGCCAGGGCCAGGCAGGCUUUCCAUCCUUCCUUUGGUGCAAACGCCCUCGCAGUUGACUCAUUCCCCAACCCUGAGGUCUGCGGCCCCCAUCCCCCAGCCACACCACUUCCCCAUUAGCAUGGUGGCCCCUCUGGUCUCUGCCGUUCUAGCUUCCUGUCCAUGCCUCCUGGUUCAGCCCAGAUGUGGCCGUGGCCCAUCCUCCACUCCCCUGGGAGGACAGAUCUGGCUCAGGGCUGUCUGCAGUCUUGAAUCCCUCUCCUCUCUCCUCUGAAGCCAGGGUAAAGCACACACCACACAGCCUGGCCCACAGCAGGACUGAUUCUAGUACAUUCCCAGAUGGUCUAUGUCAGCUGGGAAUGCUUGACUUCCUGUUUUGUUUUCCGUCAGCAAUCCUAAACCAGAACUUUCUUUCCCAUAAGAAUGAUUUCUUCAGGUUGCUGACACGGUGACACCACUUUGAAAAGGAGGGAAGUUUGGAGCACUUUUUGUUUAGAUCAGAAUUUAAAAUGAUGCCAGGCAGGGUGGCUCACGCCUGUAAUCCCAGGAUUUAGGGAGGCCAAGACGGGUGGAUCAUUUGAGGUCAGGAGUUCGAGACGAGCCUGGCCAACAUAGUGAAACCCCAUCUCUACCGAAAAUACAAAAAUCAGCCGGAUUUCGUGGUGGGCACCUGUAGUCCCAGCUACUCGGGAGGCUGAGGCAGGAGGAUUACUUGAACCCGGGAGGCAGAGGUUGCAGUGAGCCGAGAUCACACCACUGCACUCCAGCCUGGGUGACACAGUAAGACUCCCUCCCAAUUUAGAAAAAUAAUUAAAAUGAAAGCCUGUCCAGGAAGCAGUGGAGGUUAGAAGUCCUGGUCUGGCGGUUCAGAUCCCUCCUGAGGCACUUCCUGGUUUGAGGCAAAUCUCUUCCGGCUUCACUCCACUUUUCUCAUCUAUAAAAAUAGGACUAAGUCAGGUGCAGCGGUGCGAGCCUCUAGUCCCAGCUACUGAGGAGGCUGAGGUGAGAGGAUGGCUUGAGUCCAGGAGUUCAAGGCUGCAGUGAGCUGUGAUCGUGCUACUGCAGUCCAGCCAGGGCAACAGAAUGAGACUCUGUCUCUAAAAUAAAUAAAUAGGCUGAGUGCAGUGGCUCAUGCCUAUAAUCCCAGCACUUUGGGAGGCCAAGGCAGGAGGAUCACGUAAGCCCAGAAGUUCGGGACCAGCCUGUGCAACAUAGUGGCAUUACAGGCAUAAGCCACCAUGCCCAGCCAAUUUUUUAAAAUAUAGAAAUUCACACCCACAGGCCAGGCGGCUCAUGCCUGUCAUCCCAGUACUUAGGGGGGCCAAGGCGGAUGGAUCUCUUGAGGUCAGGAGUUCGAGACCAGUCUGGCCAACAUGGUGAAACCCCGUCUCUACUAAAAAUACAAAAAUUAGCCGUGUGGUGUUGCCCACCUGUAAUCUCAGCUACUCAGGAGGCUGAGGCAGGAGAAUUGCUUGAAUUUGGGAGGCAGAGGUUGCAGUGAGCCGAGAUUGCACCACUGCACUGCAGUCUGGGUGAAAAAGCGAGGCUCCAUCUCAAAUAAAUAAAUAAAUAAAUGAAAUACUAAAAUGAGGACAUUGGACAAGGUUAUCUCUAAACAGCACACUCUGGCUUAACUUUGACAUUUCAGGAUAAGUGAGUUUCUCAGGAAACAGACCUAUAAAUAAAGCUCAGUAGUUUCCUUUCAGGACCCCCAGAUAGCAGUGUAGAAAAUGCACUCCAUCUUAACACAAAAAAUAAAAAGUCAAAAAAUUAGCCAGGCGUGGUGGUGCGUGCAUGUAGUCCUAGAUAUUUGAGAGGCUGAGGUGGGAGGAGGGAGGAUCUUUUGAGCCCAGGAGUUGGAGUCUCCAGUGAGCUAAGAUCGCAACACUGCACUCCAGCCCGAGUGACAAAGGGAGACCCUGUCUCAAAAAAAAACAAAAAAAAAGGGCGGGGCGGGGUGGCGGCGGGCAUGGUGGCUUGCCCCUAUAAUCCCAGCACUUUGGGAGGCCGAGGCGGGCGGAUCAUCUGAGGUCAGAAGUUCAAGACCAAGCUGGCCAACAUGGUGAAACCCUGUCUCUACUAAAAAUAUUUUAAAAUUUAGCUGGGUGUGGUGGUGAGCACCAGUAAUCCCAGCUACUCCGGAGGCUGAGGCAG
rnacentral:lncRNA from 1 species